GUGGGGAAUCUUAGACAAUGGGCGCAAGCCUGAUCUAGCCAUGCCGCGUGAGCGAUGAAGGCCUUAGGGUUGUAAAGCUCUUUCGUGGGGGAAGAUAAUGACUGUACCCCAAGAAGAAGCCCCGGCUAACUCCGUGCCAGCAGCCGCGGUAAUACGGAGGAGGCUAGCGUUGUUCGGAAUUACUGGGCGUAAAGCGCACGUAGGCGGACUGGAAAGUCAGGGGUGAAAUCCCGGGGCUCAACCCCGGAACUGCCUUUGAAACUCCCAGUCUUGAGUUCGAGAGAGGUGAGUGGAAUUCCGAGUGUAGAGGUGAAAUUCGUAGAUAUUCGGAGGAACACCAGUGGCGAAGGCGGCUCACUGGCUCGAUACUGACGCUGAGGUGCGAAAGCGUGGGGAGCAAACAGGAUUAGAUACCCGGGUAGUCC
rnacentral:rRNA from 1 species